rnacentral:rRNA from 1 species
AUCAACUUUCGAUGGUAGGAUAGAGGCCUACCAUGGUGGUAACGGGUAACGGGGUGUUAGGGCACGACACCGGAGAGGGAGCCUGAGAAACGGCUACCACAUCCAAGGAUGGCAGCAGGCGCGCAAAUUACCCAAUCCCGACACGGGGAGGUAGUGACAAUAAAUAACAAUACGGGGUUCUUUCGGAUCUCGUAGUUGGAAUGAGUACAAUUUAAAUCCCUUAACGAGGAACAAUUGGAGGGCAAGUCUGGUGCCAGCAGCCGCGGUAAUUCCAGCUCCAAUAGCGUAUAUUAAAGUUGUUGCAGUUAAAAAGCUCGUAGUUGAAUUUCGGGGUUAGUAGGUUGGUCAUGCCUCUGGUAUGUAUUGGUCUCACUGAUUCCUCCUUCCUGAUGAACCGUAAUGCCAUUAAUUUGGUGUUGCGGGGAAUUUGGACUGUUACUUUGAAAAAAUUAGAGUGUUUAAAGCAAGCUAACGCUUGAAUACAUUAGCAUGGAAUAAUGAAAUAGGACGUUCGAUCCUAUUUUGUUGGUUUCUAGGAUUGACGUAAUGAUUAAUAGGGAUAGUUGGGGGCAUUAGUAUUCAAUUGUCAGAGGUGAAAUUCUUGGAUUUAUUGAAGACUAACUACUGCGAAAGCAUUUGCCAAGGAUGUUUUCAUUAAUCAAGAACGAAAGUUAGGGGAUCGAAGACGAUCAGAUACCGUCGUAGUCUUAACCAUAAACUAUGCCGACUAGGGAUCGGAUGAUGUUAAUUUUUUAAUGACUCAUUCGGCGCCUUACGGGAAACCAAAGUGUUUGGG